rnacentral:rRNA from 1 species
CUUACCAGGAAAACCUUUUAUAUUGAGACACCCAGAUGUGUUCUUUUUGAUGAUGAACCUAUAGAACAUUUAAAGCACCUUUUCUUCUCAUGUGAUUUUAGCCAUAAUUUUUGGCUUUCACUUGGCAUUGAAUGGGACACAGACCUGAACUGCAAUGACAUGCUGAUUGAGGCCAAAAACAGGACACGGAUCCAACCAUUCAAAGAAUGCCUAAUAGCUGGUUGCUGGACCAUUUGGAAGCAUAGAAACAACAUCAUCUUUGACAACAAGAGAAGGAAUUUGAGUUACUGCAUCACUUGUUUCAAAGAACAUUAUGGCACUAUCAUCAAGAGAGCCAAGCCUAGCCUAAAGGAGGGAAUGCAGAGUUGGCUGGAUUAUUUGUAA